rnacentral:rRNA from 1 species
CAGUCGCCGCGGUAAUACGAAGGGUGCAAGCGUUAAUCGGAAUUACUGGGCGUAAAGCGCGCGUAGGUGGUUCAUUAAGUUGGAUGUGAAAGCCCUGGGCUCAACCUGGGAACUGCAUCCAAAACUGGUGAGCUAGAGUACGGUAGAGGGUAGUGGAAUUUCCUGUGUAGCGGUGAAAUGCGUAGAUAUAGGAAGGAACACCAGUGGCGAAGGCGACUACCUGGACUGAUACUGACACUGAGGUGCGAAAGCGUGGGGAGCAAACAGGAUUAGAUACCCCCGUAGUCCCUGUCUCUUAUAA